AAUCCAUAGGUUAAUGAGGCGAACCGGGGGAACUGAAACAUCUAAGUACCCCGAGGAAAAGAAAUCAACCGAGAUUCCCCCAGUAGCGGCGAGCGAACGGGGAGGAGCCCAGAGCCUGAAUCAGCAUGUGUGUUAGUGGAAGCGUCUGGAAAGGCGCGCGAUACAGGGUGACAGCCCCGUACACAAAAGCGCAUGUGCUGUGAGCUCGAUGAGUAGGGCGGGACACGUGGUAUCCUGUCUGAAUAUGGGGGGACCAUCCUCCAAGGCUAAAUACUCCUGACUGACCGAUAGUGAACCAGUACCGUGAGGGAAAGGCGAAAAGAACCCCGGCGAGGGGAGUGAAAAAGAACCUGAAACCGUGUACGUACAAGCAGUGGGAGCACAGGUUUACCUGUGUGACUGCGUACCUUUUGUAUAAUGGGUCAGCGACUUAUAUUCUGUAGCAAGGUUAACCGUAUAGGGGAGCCGGAGGGAAACCGAGUCUUAACCGGGCGUUAAGUUGCAGGGUAUAGACCCGAAACCCGGUGAUCUAGCCAUGGGCAGGUUGAAGGUUGGGUAACACUAACUGGAGGACCGAACCGACUAAUGUUGAAAAAUUAGCGGAUGACCUGUGGCUGGGGGUGAAAGGCCAAUCAAACCGGGAGAUAGCUGGUUCUCCCCGAAAGCUAUUUAGGUAGCGCCUCGUGAAUUCAUCUCCGGGGGUAGAGCACUGUUUCGGCUAGGGGGCCAUCCCGGCUUACCAACCCGAUGCAAACUGCGAAUACCGGAGAAUGUUAUCACGGGAGACACACGGCGGGUGCUAACGUCCGUCGUGAAGAGGGAAACAACCCAGACCGCCAGCUAAGGUCCCAAAGUCAUGGUUAAGUGGGAAACGAUGUGGGAAGGCCCAGACAGCCAGGAUGUUGGCUUAGAAGCAGCCAUCAUUUAAAGAAAGCGUAAUAGCUCACUGGUCGAGUCGGCCUGCGCGGAAGAUGUAACGGGGCUAAACCAUGCACCGAAGCUGCGGCAGCGACGUUUAUGCGUUGUUGGGUAGGGGAGCGUUCUGUAAGCCUGCGAAGGUGGCCUGUGAGGGUUGCUGGAGGUAUCAGAAGUGCGAAUGCUGACAUAAGUAACGAUAAAGCGGGUGAAAAGCCCGCUCGCCGGAAGACCAAGGGUUCCUGUCCAACGUUAAUCGGGGCAGGGUGAGUCGACCCCUAAGGCGAGGCCGAAAGGCGUAGUCGAUGGGAAACGGGUUAAUAUUCCCGUACUUGGUGUUACUGCGAAGGGGGGACGGAGAAGGCUAUGUUGGCCGGGCGACGGUUGUCCCGGUUUAAGCGUGUAGGCUGGUUUUCCAGGCAAAUCCGGAAAAUCAAGGCUGAGGCGUGACGACGAGGCACUACGGUGCUGAAGCAACAAAUGCCCUGCUUCCAGGAAAAGCCUCUAAGCAUCAGGUAACAUCAAAUCGUACCCCAAACCGACACAGGUGGUCAGGUAGAGAAUACCAAGGCGCUUGAGAGAACUCGGGUGAAGGAACUAGGCAAAAUGGUGCCGUAACUUCGGGAGAAGGCACGCUGACACGUAGGUGAAGUGAUUUACUCAUGGAGCUGAAGUCAGUCGAAGAUACCAGCUGGCUGCAACUGUUUAUUAAAAACACAGCACUGUGCAAACACGAAAGUGGACGUAUACGGUGUGACGCCUGCCCGGUGCCGGAAGGUUAAUUGAUGGGGUCAGCGCAAGCGAAGCUCCUGAUCGAAGCCCCGGUAAACGGCGGCCGUAACUAUAACGGUCCUAAGGUAGCGAAAUUCCUUGUCGGGUAAGUUCCGACCUGCACGAAUGGCGUAAUGAUGGCCAGGCUGUCUCCACCCGAGACUCAGUGAAAUUGAACUCGCUGUGAAGAUGCAGUGUACCCGCGGCAAGACGGAAAGACCCCGUGAACCUUUACUAUAGCUUGACACUGAACAUUGAGCCUUGAUGUGUAGGAUAGGUGGGAGGCUUUGAAGCGUGGACGCCAGUCUGCGUGGAGCCGACCUUGAAAUACCACCCUUUAAUGUUUGAUGUUCUAACGUGGACCCGUAAUCCGGGUUGCGGACAGUGUCUGGUGGGUAGUUUGACUGGGGCGGUCUCCUCCUAAAGAGUAACGGAGGAGCACGAAGGUUGGCUAAUCCUGGUCGGACAUCAGGAGGUUAGUGCAAUGGCAUAAGCCAGCUUGACUGCGAGCGUGACGGCGCGAGCAGGUGCGAAAGCAGGUCAUAGUGAUCCGGUGGUUCUGAAUGGAAGGGCCAUCGCUCAACGGAUAAAAGGUACUCCGGGGAUAACAGGCUGAUACCGCCCAAGAGUUCAUAUCGACGGCGGUGUUUGGCACCUCGAUGUCGGCUCAUCACAUCCUGGGGCUGAAGUAGGUCCCAAGGGUAUGGCUGUUCGCCAUUUAAAGUGGUACGCGAGCUGGGUUUAGAACGUCGUGAGACAGUUCGGUCCCUAUCUGCCGUGGGCGCUGGAGAACUGAGGGGGGCUGCUCCUAGUACGAGAGGACCGGAGUGGACGCAUCACUGGUGUUCGGGUUGUCAUGCCAAUGGCACUGCCCGGUAGCUAAAUGCGGAAGAGAUAAGUGCUGAAAGCAUCUAAGCACGAAACUUGCCCCGA
rnacentral:rRNA from 1 species